ensembl:lncRNA
CUGGAGUGGAGCUACUACAACUGAACCACCUAGCUUGUGGGAAAAUGAUUCGGUGCUCGAUGGUGAAAUGCUUUCAAGGCUGUCUGGUGCUGAGUGGUGUCAUCGCAGAAGCUGGGUGAUGAGACACCAAAGGCCAGAAAAGGUGAGAACCUGCCAAAAGACACGGAGCAAACAUCAAGGCGGACCUGAGAAGAGAACUCGUCAAUACUGGAUUCUUGGGCUCUGAGGACAUGAUCCCUGCUCUGGACGUUGGAGAAUCUCUGAAGAAUUUUUGGCAGGCAUAAUCAGGUCUCUGCUUUACAAAUGUGGAUGAGCGCUUUUAGGAGCCCUCUGCAGGUUUAUGUCUCGAAGGGAAAUUGAUGGAUCCCAUGAUAAUCGUCUGUUUUGUUUUUUGAGGAGCUGCCAUACUGUUUUCCAUAGUAACUGCACCAUUUUACAUUCCCUCCAAGAAAGCAAAGUUUCCAGUUUUUCCACAUCUUCCUCAUCCUUAUCAUCACUUACUUGUUAUUUUCUCUUUUGGAUUUUUUUUUAAGCCAUCCUAAAAGCCUCUUGAUGAAAGUGAAAGAGGA